UUAUUUCAUGUUUAUCUCUCAAAAUCAGUUCACUUAUCUACUUCCUCGACCAUUCUCAAUCUUGCAUAAACAUUCUCUGCAAAGCUUUUUUUUCCUAACAACUCACCCCCAAAAUUUAGCCAACUCAAAUACUCUCUUGCUUUUGUAAAUUUCCAGCUUGUUCUUCUCCAAAUCGGUGCGGCGCGACUAGGACGUAACUUUUGAUUGAAUUUCUCAAAGUUAGCCUUCAAGUUCAAGUUACAGGUUUUAAAGGCCGGAGGCGCGUGGAAGGUCGAAUGACGAAUCAAAUAUUUUGAAUUUAGUUUUUCUUAAAAAUGUUAUGUUUAGUAAAGUAUUUUAAAAUAAGAUAUUUAUUUCUUUA